rnacentral:rRNA from 1 species
AUAACGGUCCUAAGGUAGCGAAAUUCCUUGUCAGGUAAGUUCUGACCCGCACGAAUGGCGUAAUGAUUUGGGCACUGUCUCAACAGCCCGCCCGGCGAAAUUGUAGUACUGGUGAAGAUGCCAGUUACCCGCAACUAGACGGAAAGACCCCAUGGAGCUUUACUGCAGCUUAAUACUGAAAUUCGGUAGUACAUGUACAGGAUAGGUGGGAGACUGAGAAAUACAGGCGUCAGCUUGUAUGGAGUCGCUGUUGGGAUACCACUCUUGUACUGCUGGGUUUCUAACCUGCGGCCGUGAAUCCGGUCGGGGGACACUGUUAGGCGGGCAGUUUGACUGGGGCGGUCGCCUCCAAAAAGGUAACGGAGGCGCUCAAAGGUUCGUUCAGCACGGACGGAAAUCGUGCAUUGAGUGUAAACGCAUAAACGAGCCUAACUGCGAGACCGACGGGUCGAGCAGUAACGAAAGUUGGAGUUAGUGAUCCGGUGGUAUGUGAGUGGAAAUGCCAUCGCUCAACGGAUAAAAGCUACCCUGGGGAUAACAGGCUGAUCUCCCCCAAGAGUCCACAUCGACGGGGAGGUUUGGCACCUCGAUGUCGGCUCAUCGCAUCCUGGGGCUGAAUUCGGUCCCAAGGGUUUGGCUGUUCGCCAAUUAAAGCGGCACGCGAGCUGGGUUCAGAACGUCGUGAGACAGUUCGGUCCCUAUCUGUUGCGGGCGUAAGAGAUUUGAAGGGAGCUGUCCUUAGUACGAGAGGACCGGGAUGGACGUACCUCUGGUGCACCAGUUGUCCUGCCAAGGGCAUAGCUGGGUAGCUAUGUACGGACGAGAUAAACGCUGAAAGCAUCUAAGCGUGAAACUCCCCCUAAGAUGAGAUCUCUCAUCCUUCAAGGAGUAAGGACCCAGAAAGACGAUCUGGUUGAUAGGCCGAAGGUGGAAGCGCAGUAAUGUGUGCAGCUGAUCGGUACUAAUAGUCCGAGGGCUUGACCUA